rnacentral:rRNA from 2 species
UACGAAGGGGGCUAGCGUUGCUCGGAAUCACUGGGCGUAAAGGGCGCGUAGGCGGACUUUUAAGUCGGAGGUGAAAGCCCAGGGCUCAACCCUGGAAUUGCCUUCGAUACUGGGAGUCUUGAGUUCGGAAGAGGUUGGUGGAACUGCGAGUGUAGAGGUGAAAUUCGUAGAUAUUCGCAAGAACACCGGUGGCGAAGGCGGCCAACUGGUCCGAAACUGACGCUGAGGCGCGAAAGCGUGGGGAGCAAACAGG